CCAGAACAGUGAUUUUUGUGACCACAGUUACAAACCGCCUCCAGAGAGCCUGUUGUACACCAGACCAGUGGAGCCAGACUGCAGCUAGAGCCCAUCAUCAUCCUCAUCUGGUUGUAAGUAGGCAAUCUAGUAUAUUAUUCGUGGCACUAAUCUCUAAUUUACCUCACAUUAAAGAAACACUAUAGUCCCCAGAACCACUGCAGCUUAAUGUAGU
rnacentral:lncRNA from 1 species